CCGCCGUUGUUAGAGCUUCUGUCCGAGUCCUGCCGCCGGAGAACACCUCUGCCGCCACUGAGAUUUGCCGCCGUCGCCGUUGCCGGAGUUCUAGUCGUCGCCGCCGUUCGAGGUGGCUGCCGGAGCUAUCGCCAAACCGGUUCAGCGACCGCCGCUGUUUCAUUUUCUUAGUUCGGGUCGUGUUGUGAGCGUUGCAUGUCGCUCUUAAGUUGCUGUGAGUGCUGCGAAAGUGAUCAGGGACUGAGUUUGUGGUUGCUGUUGGUUUCGGGUUAAGAGAAAUGGUUUUGUUGACGCAUUUUGAGUUAUGGUUUCGACGAGUCAAGGUAGGGGUUUUUCUUAAAAUCUAAUUUCUAUUACAGAGUUGUGGUAAAUAGAUAUUAAUGUGAGAGAACAUAUG